CCCUUAGAUGUUCUGGGCGGCCCGCGCACUACAAUGGCGUGUGCAGCGAGUGCCGAAGUAGAGUUUUCCGAGGUAUUCUUGCAAUGCUCGUUUUGAUGGGGAUAGACCCUUGCAACUGUUGGUUUUGAACGAGGAAUUCCUUGUAAGCAUGGUUUAUCAUCCGACGCUGAAUGCGUCCCUGCCCUUUGUACACACCGCCCGUCGCUCUUACCGAUGAGUCGUCCGGUGAAGUUCGUAGACCUCGUGAUCGCGGAUCACUGGGGGAAGCAAAAUGAACCUCGCGGUUUAGAGGAAGGAGAAGUCGUAACA
rnacentral:rRNA from 1 species